AAAAUCCGUUGGUCUCACGGGACCGUGAGGGUUCAAGU
rnacentral:tRNA from 1 species